rnacentral:misc_RNA from 1 species
UUUCCGUAGGUGAACCUGCGGAAGGAUCAUUAUUGUAUAACCGAGGUGCAAGUGCUGACGUUGACCCGAAAGGUCGUGCACGCCCGAGUGCACUCACACACUUCCAUCUUACCCCUCUGUGCACCACCGCGUGGGUCCCCCUUUGGCUUGUUCGGAGGGGGGCUUACGUUUUCACACAAACUUUGUAUGCAGUGUAGAAUGUAUUUUUUGUUUUUGCGAUCACGCACUCAAUACAACUUUCAACAACGGAUCUCUUGGCUCUC